rnacentral:rRNA from 1 species
UACGUAGGUGGCAAGCGUUGUCCGGAUUUAUUGGGUUUAAAGGGUGCGUAGGUGGUUUUUUAAGUCAGUGGUGAAAUACGGCAGCUCAACUGUCGAGGUGCCAUUGAUACUGGGAGACUUGAGUACUGAUGAGGUAGGCGGAAUGGACGGUGUAGCGGUGAAAUGCUUAGAGAUCGUCCAGAACACCGAUAGCGAAGGCAGCUUACUAAGGAGUAACUGACACUGAGGCACGAAAGUGUGGGGAUCAAACAGG